UUAUCUUAGUGGCGGACGGGUGAGUAACGCGUGAGCAACCUGCCUUUCAGAGGGGGAUAACGUCUUGAAAAGGACGCUAAUACCGCAUGACAUUAUGGAGCCACAUGGCUCUAUAAUCAAAGGAGCAAUCCGCUGAAAGAUGGGCUCGCGUCCGAUUAGGUAGUUGGCGGGAUAACAGCCCACCAAGCCGACGAUCGGUAGCCGGACUGAGAGGUUGAACGGCCACAUUGGGACUGAGACACGGCCCAGACUCCUACGGGAGGCAACAGUGAGGGAUAUUGGUCAAUGGGGGAAACCCUGAACCAGUAACGCCGCGUGAGGGAUGACGGCCUUCGGGUUGUAAACCUCUGUCCUCUGUGAAGAUAAUGACGGUAGCAGAGGAGGAAGCUCCGGCUAACUACGUGCCAGCAGCCGCGGUAAUACGUAGGGAGCAAGCGUUGUCCGGAUUUACUGGGUGUAAAGGGUGCGUAGGCGGUUUGGUAAGUCAGAAGUGAAAUCCAUGGGCUUAACCCAUGAACUGCUUUUGAAACUAUCGAACUUGAGUGAAGUAGAGGUAGGCGGAAUUCCCGGUGUAGCGGUGAAAUGCGUAGAGAUCGGGAGGAACACCAGUGGCGAAGGCGGCCUACUGGGCUUUAACUGACGCUGAGGCACGAAAGCAUGGGUAGCAAACAGGAUUAGAUAC
rnacentral:rRNA from 1 species